rnacentral:rRNA from 1 species
AUUGAACGCUGGCGGCAGGCCUAACACAUGCAAGUCGAACGGUAACAGGAAACAGCUUGCUGUUUCGCUGACGAGUAGCGGACGGGUGAGUAAUGUCUGGGAAACUGCCUGAUGGAGGGGGAUAACUACUGGAAACGGUAGCUAAUACCGCAUAACGUCGCAAGACCAAAGAGGGGGACCUUCGGGCCUCUUGCCGUCGGAUGUGCCCAGAUGGGAUUAGCUUGUUGGUGGGGUAACGGCUCACCAAGGCGACGAUCCCUAGCUGGUCUGAGAGGAUGCCCAGCCACACUGGAACUGAGACACGGUCCAGACUCCUACGGGAGGCAGCAGUGGGGAAUAUUGCACAAUGGGCGCAAGCCUGAUGCAGCCAUGCCGCGUGUAUGAAGAAGGCCUUCGGGUUGUAAAGUACUUUCAGCGGGGAGGAAGGGAGUAAAGUUAAUACCUUUACUCACUGACGUUACCCGCAGAAGAAGCACCGGCUAACUCCGUGCCAGCCGCCGCAGUAA